GCAAUCAUACAAGCACUAAUGCACCGGAUCCUAUUAGAACUUCGCAAUUAAGCGUGCUUGGACAAGGGUAGUGCUAGGAUGGGUGACCUCCUGGGAAUUCCUUAUGUUGCACCCU